rnacentral:rRNA from 1 species
UACGGAGGGUGCAAGCGUUGUUCGGAAUUACUGGGCGUAAAGGGCGCGUAGGCGGCCGCGUAAGUCUGAUGUGAAAUCCCUGGGCCUAACCCAGGACGUGCAUUGGAAACUGCGUGGCUUGAGUACGGGAGAGGAGAGCGGAAUUCCUGGUGUAGAGGUGAAAUUCGUAGAUACCAGGAGGAACACCGGUGGCGAAGGCGGCUCUCUGGACCGAUACUGACGCUGAGGCGCGAAAGCGUGGGUAGCAAAC